GCGCACCAGUCGAGAAACUUUACAAUGCGGGAAACCGCGAUAAGGGGACACCGAGUGCCAGCAUAUUAUGUUGGCUGUCCACAUGUGUAAACGGCAUGUGUUAGCAAGGGCCGGGCAAGACCGGUGCCAGCCGCCGCGGUAACACCGGCGGCCCGAGUGGUAAUCACUUUUAUUGGGUCUAAAGGGUCCGUAGCCGGUUUGAUCAGUUCUUCGGGAAAUCUGACAGCUCAACUGUUAGGCUUCCGGGGAAUACUGUCAGACUUGGGGACCGGGAGAGGUAAGAGGUACUACAGGGGUAGGAGUGAAAUCUUGUAAUCCCUGUGGGACCACCAGUGGCGAAGGCGUCUUAUCAGAACGGGUCCGACGGUGAGGGACGAAAGCUGGGGGCACGAACCGGAUUAGAUACCCGGGUAGU
rnacentral:rRNA from 1 species